rnacentral:rRNA from 1 species
CCUACGGGUGACAGCAGUGAGGAAUAUUGGUCAAUGGACGAGAGUCUGAACCAGCCAAGUAGCGUGAAGGAUGACUGCCCUAUGGGUUGUAAACUUCUUUUAUAUGGGAAUAAAACGUUCCACGUGUGGGAUUUUGUAUGUACCAUAUGAAUAAGGAUCGGCUAACUCCGUGCCAGCAGCCGCGGUAAUACGGAGUAUCCGAGCGUUAUCCGGAUUUAUUGGGUUUAAAGGGAGCGUAGGUGGAUUGUUAAGUCAGUUGUGAAAGUUUGCGGCUCAACCGUAAAAUUGCAGUUGAAACUGGCAGUCUUGAGUACAGUAGAGGUGGGCGGAAUUCGUGGUGUAGCGGUGAAAUGCUUAGAUAUCACGAAGAACUCCGAUUGCGAAGGCAGUUCACUGGACUGCAACUGACACUGAGGCUCGAAAGUGUGGGUAUCAAACAGGAUUAGAUACCCCUGUAGUC